UACGUAGGGCGCAAGCGUUGUCCGGAAUUAUUGGGCGUAAAGAGCUCGUAGGUGGUUUGUUGCGUCUGCCGUGAAAACCCGAGGCUUAACCUCGUGGCUUGCGGUGGAUACGGGCAGACUGGAGUUCGGUAGGGGAGACUGGAAUUCCUGGUGUAGCGGUGAAAUGCGCAGAUAUCAGGAGGAACACCGGUGGCGAAGGCGGGUCUCUGGGCCGAUACUGACGCUGAGGAGCGAAAGCGUGGGGAGCGAACAGG
rnacentral:rRNA from 1 species